AUUGAACGCUGGCGGCAGGCCUAACACAUGCAAGUCGAACGAGUGGCGGACGGGUGAGUAAUGUCUGGGAAACUGCCUGAUGGAGGGGGAUAACGACUGGAAACGGUAGCUAAUACCGCAUACCAUCAGAUGGGCCCAGAGGGGAUUAGCUAGUUGGUGGGGUAACGGCACACCAAGGCGACGAUCCCUAGCUGGUCUGAGCGGAGGACCAGCCACACUUGAACGUGGCCACGGUCCAGACUCCUCCGGGAUGCAGCAUGGGGGAAUAUUGCACAAUGGGCGCAAGCCUGAUGCAGCCAUGCCGCGUGUAUGAAGAAGGCCUUCGGUUUGUAAAGUACUUUCAGCGGGGAGGCGUUACCCGCAGAAGAAGCACCGGCUAACUCCGUGCCAGCAGCCGCGGUAAUUC
rnacentral:rRNA from 1 species